rnacentral:rRNA from 1 species
GACGAACGCUGGCGGCGUGCCUAACACAUGCAAGUCGAGCGAACAGACGAGUUGCUUGCUCCUCUGAUGUUAGCGGCGGACGGGUGAGUAACACGUGGAUAACCUACCUAUAAGACUGGGAUAACUUAGGGAAACCGGAGCUAAUACCGGAUAAUAUAUUGAACCGCAUGGUUCAAUAGUGUAAGACGGUUUUGCUGUCACUUAUAGAUGGACCCGCGCCGCAUUAGCUAGUUGGGAAGGUAACGGCUUACCAAGGCGACGAUGCGUAGCCGACCUGAGAGGGUGAUCGGCAACGCGGGAACUGAGACACGGUCCAGGCUCCUACGGGAGGCAGGAGUAGGGAAUCUGCCGCAAGGGGCGAAAGCCUGACGGAGCGACGCCGCGUGAGUGAUGAAGGUCUUCGGAUCGUAAACCUCUGUUGUUUGGGAAGAACAAAUGUGUAAGUAACUAUGCUCGUCUUGACGGUACCUAAUCAGAAAGCCACGGCUAACUACGU